rnacentral:rRNA from 1 species
GACGUUAGCGGCGGACGGGUGAGUAACACGUGGAUAACCUACCUAUAAGACUGGGAUAACUUCGGGAAACCGGAGCUAAUACCGGAUAACAUAUUGAACCGCAUGGUUCAAUAGUGAAAGGCGGCUUUGCUGUCACUUAUAGAUGGAUCCGCGCCGUAUUAGCUAGUUGGUAAGGUAACGGCUUACCAAGGCAACGAUACGUAGCCGACCUGAGAGGGUGAUCGGCCACACUGGAACUGAGACACGGUCCAGACUCCUACGGGAGGCAGCAGUAGGGAAUCUUCCGCAAUGGGCGAAAGCCUGACGGAGCAACGCCGCGUGAGUGAUGAAGGUCUUCGGAUCGUAAAACUCUGUUAUCAGGGAAGAACAAAUGUGUAAGUAACUGUGCACAUCUUGACGGUACCUGAUCAGAAAGCCACGGCUAACUACGUGCCAGCAGCCGCGGUAAUACGUAGGUGGCAAGCGUUAUCCGGAAUUAUUGGGCGUAAAGCGCGCGUAGGCGGUUUUUUAAGUCUGAUGUGAAAGCCCACGGCUCAACCGUGGAGGGUCAUUGGAAACUGGAAAACUUGAGUGCAGAAGAGGAAAGUGGAAUUCCAUGUGUAGCGGUGAAAUGCGCAGAGAUAUGGAGGAACACCAGUGGCGAAGGCGACUUUCUGGUCUGUAACUGACGCUGAUGUGCGAAAGCGUGGGGAUCAAACAGGAUUAGAUACCCUGGUAGUCCACGCCGUAAACGAUGAGUGCUAAGUGUUAGGGGGUUUCCGCCCCUUAGUGCUGCAGCUAACGCAUUAAGCACUCCGCCUGGG